rnacentral:rRNA from 1 species
GAGUUUGAUCAUGGCUCAGAUUGAACGCUGGCGGCAUGCCUUACACAUGCAAGUCGAACGGUAACAGGUCUUCGGAUGCUGACGAGUGGCGAACGGGUGAGUAAUACAUCGGAACGUGCCCAGACGUGGGGGGAUAACGAGGCGAAAGCUUUGCUAAUACCGCAUACGAUCUAAGGAUGAAAGCAGGGGACCGCAAGGCCUUGCGCGUUUGGAGCGGCCGAUGGCAGAUUAGGUAGUUGGGUGGGAUAAAAGCUUACCAAGCCGACGAUCUGUAGCUGGUCUGAGAGGACGACCAGCCACACUGGGACUGAGACACGGCCCAGACUCCUACGGGAGGCAGCAGUGGGAAUUUUGGACAAUGGGCGAAAGCCUGAUCCAGCAAUGCCGCGUGCAGGAUGAAGGCC